rnacentral:rRNA from 1 species
GAUGAACGCUGGCGGCGUGCCUAAUACAUGCAAGUCGAGCGAACAGACGAGGAGCUUGCUCCUCUGACGUUAGCGGCGGACGGGUGAGUAACACGUGGAUAACCUACCUAUAAGACUGGGAUAACUUCGGGAAACCGGAGCUAAUACCGGAUAAUAUAUUGAACCGCAUGGUUCAAUAGUGAAAGACGGUUUUGCUGUCACUUAUAGAUGGAUCCGCGCCGCAUUAGCUAGUUGGUAAGGUAACGGCUUACCAAGGCAACGAUGCGUAGCCGACCUGAGAGGGUGAUCGGCCACACUGGAACUGAGACACGGUCCAGACUCCUACGGGAGGCAGCAGUAGGGAAUCUUCCGCAAUGGGCGAAAGCCUAACGGAGCAACGCCGCGUGAGUGAUGAAGGUCUUCGGAUCGUAAACCUCUGUUAUUAGGGAAGAACAAAUGUGUAAGUAACUAUGCACGUCUUGACGGUACCUAAUCAGAAAGCCACGGCUAACUACGUG